rnacentral:rRNA from 1 species
AGUGAACGCUGGCGGUAGGCUUAACACAUGCAAGUCGAACGGCAGCACAGUAAGAGCUUGCUCUUACGGGUGGCGAGUGGCGGACGGGUGAGGAAUACAUCGGAAUCUACUUUUUCGUGGGGGUUAACGUAGGGAAACUUACGCUCAUACCGCAUACGACCUACGGGUGAAAGCAGGGGAUCUUCGCACCUUGCGCGAUUGAAUGAGCCGAUGGCGGAUUAGCUAGUUGGCGGGGUAAAGGCCCACCAAGGCGACGAUCCGUAGCUGGUCUGAGAGGACGGGCAGCCACACUGGAAGUGAGACACGGUCCAUACGCCUAGGGGAGGCAGCAAUAGGGAAUAUUGGACAAUCGGCGCAAGCCAGAUCCAGCCAUACCGAGUGGGGGAAGAAGGCCGUCGGGUUGUAGAGCACGUUUGUUGGGAAAGAAAAGCAGCAGGUUAAUACCCCGCUGUUCUGACGGUACCCAAAGAAUAAGCACCGGCUAAAUUCGUGC